rnacentral:lncRNA from 1 species
AGAGGGAGCGCGCCUUGGCUCGCUGGCCUUGGCGGCGGCUCCUCAGGAGAGCUGGGGCGCCCACGAGAGGAUCCCUCACCCGGGUCUCUCCUCAGGGAUGACAUCAUCCGUCCACCUCCUUGUCUUCAAGGACCACCUCCUCUCCAUGCUGAGCUGCUGCCAAGGGGCCUGCUGCCCAUCUACACCUCACGAGGGCACUAGGAGCACGGUUUCCUGGAUCCCACCAACAUACAAAGCAGCCACUCACUGACCCCCAGGACCAGGAUGGCAAAGGAUGAAGAGGACCGGAACUGACCAGCCAGCUGUCCCUCUUACCUAAAGACUUAAACCAAUGCCCUAGUGAGGGGGCAUUGGGCAUUAAGCCCUGACCUUUGCUAUGCUCAUACUUUGACUCUAUGAGUACUUUCCUAUAAGUCUUUGCUUGUGUUCACCUGCUAGCAAACUGGAGUGUUUCCCUCCCCAAGGGGGUGUCAGUCUUUGUCGACUGACUCUGUCAUCACCCUUAUGAUGUCCUGAAUGGAAGGAUCCCUUUGGGAAAUUCUCAGGAGGGGGACCUGGGCCAAGGGCUUGGCCAGCAUCCUGCUGGCAACUCCAAGGCCCUGGGUGGGCUUCUGGAAUGAGCAUGCUACUGAAUCACCAAAGGCACGCCCGACCUCUCUGAAGAUCUUCCUAUCCUUUUCUGGGGGAAUGGGGUCGAUGAGAGCAACCUCCUAGGGUUGUUGUGAGAAUUAAAUGAGAUAAAAGAGGCCUCAGGCAGGAUCUGGCAUAGAGGAGGUGAUCAGCAAAUGUUUGUUGAAAAGGUUUGACAGGUCAGUCCCUUCCCACCCCUCUUGCUUGUCUUACUUGUCUUAUUUAUUCUCCAACAGCACUCCAGGCAGCCCUUGUCCACGGGCUCUCCUUGCAUCAGCCAAGCUUCUUGAAAGGCCUGUCUACACUUGCUGUCUUCCUUCCUCACCUCCAAUUUCCUCUUCAACCCACUGCUUCCUGACUCGCUCUACUCCGUGGAAGCACGCUCACAAAGGCACGUGGGCCGUGGCCCGGCUGGGUCGGCUGAAGAACUGCGGAUGGAAGCUGCGGAAGAGGCCCUGAUGGGGCCCACCAUCCCGGACCCAAGUCUUCUUCCUGGCGGGCCUCUCGUCUCCUUCCUGGUUUGGGCGGAAGCCAUCACCUGGAUGCCUACGUGGGAAGGGACCUCGAAUGUGGGACCCCAGCCCCUCUCCAGCUCGAAAUCGUAAGUGGCUGGAGUGUAA